rnacentral:rRNA from 1 species
GAUGAACGCUGGCGGCGUGCCUAAUACAUGCAAGUCGAGCGAACGGACGAGAAGCUUGCUUUUCUGAUGUUAGCGGCGGACGGGUGAGUAACACGUGGAUAACCUACCUAUAAGACUGGGAUAACUUCGGGAAACCGGAGCUAAUACCGGAUAAUAUUUUGAACCGCAUGGUUCAAAAGUGAAAGACGGACUUGCUGUCACUUAUAGAUGGAUCCGCGCUGCAUUAGCUAGUUGGUAAGGUAACGGCUUACCAAGGCAACGAUGCAUAGCCGACCUGAGAGGGUGAUCGGCCACACUGGAACUGAGACACGGUCCAGACUCCUACGGGAGGCAGCAGUAGGGAAUCUUCCGCAAUGGGCGAAAGCCUGACGGAGCAACGCCGCGUGAGUGAUGAAAGUCUUCGGAUCGUAAAACUCUGUUAUUAGGGAAGAACAUAUGUGCAAGUAACUGUGCACAUCUUGACGGUACCUAAUCAGAAAGCCACGGCUAACUACGUG